GAUGAACGCUGGCGGCGUGCCUAAUACAUGCAAGUCGAGCGAACGGACGAGAAGCUUGCUUCUCUGAUGUUAGCGGCGGACGGGUGAGUAACACGUGGAUAACCUACCUAUAAGACUGGGAUAACUUCGGGAAACCGGAGCUAAUACCGGAUAAUAUUUUGAACCGCAUGGUUCAAAAGUGAAAGACGGUCUUGCUGUCACUUAUAGAUGGAUCCGCGCUGCAUUAGCUAGUUGGUAAGGUAACGGCUUACCAAGGCAACGAUGCAUAGCCGACCUGAGAGGGUGAUCGGCCACACUGGAACUGAGACACGGCCCAGACUCCUACGGGAGGCAGCAGUAGGGAAUCUGCCGCAAUGGGCGAAAGCCUGACGGAGCAACGCCGCGUGAGUGAUGAAGGUCUUCGGAUCGUAAAACUCUGUUAUUAGGGAAGAACAUAUGUGUAAGUAACUGUGCACAUCUUGACGGUACCUAAUCAGAAAGCCACGGCUAAAUACGUGC
rnacentral:rRNA from 1 species